GGAGCUGUGUGUACUUGCUCUGUGCUUGGGGGGGAAGAGUGGAUUUGUCUGUCAGUGAAUAGCAAUUCAGGCAGGAUCGUCCCUCAGCUGUUGUAAUUCUGAUGUGUUUUGAUAUGACAGCAGCUACUGUCUAACAUGCGUGGAUCUUCUGAAAUUUGUAGUGGACUAAAGACUGCUUUUACUUGCUGCUGAGCCUGACUGUAACUGUAUCGCUGUAGGACAAUAACGAUGGGGGCUCGAGCGACUGAAACAACUCGGGAACUGGAAAGCGCCUCUGCAAAGUAUCAAAUAGGAGGACAUGCAGAGAAAAUGUGGCAACGGCUCAAAGGAAUAUUAAGAUGCUUGGUAAAGCAGCUGGAGAAGGGUGACAUUAAUGUGGUGGAUUUAAAAAAGAAUAUUGAAUAUGCAGCAUCUGUUCUGGAAGCCGUUUAUAUUGAUGAAACCAGGAAACUUUUGGACACUGAGGAUGAACUCUCUGACAUCCAGUCGGAUUCGGUCCCGCUGGAAGUGCGGGACUGGUUAGCUUCUACAUUCACAAGAGAAAUGGGAAUAGCGAAGAGGAGAUCUGAAGAAAAGCCCAAAUUCCGAAGCAUUGUGCAUGCUGUACAGGCUGGGAUUUUUGUAGAAAGGAUGUAUCGAAGAACUUCAAGCAUGGUUGGUUUGGCAUACCCAUCAGAAGUGAUAGUCACAUUUAAGGAUGUUGAUAAAUGGUCUUUUGACGUAUUUACCCUAAAUGAAGCAAGUGGAGAGCACAGUCUGAAAUUUAUGAUGUAUGAGCUGUUUACCCGAUAUGACCUUUUGAGCCGUUUCAAGAUCCCUGUUCCCAAUCUUAUUUCAUUUGCUGAAGCUCUUGAAGUUGGUUACAGCAAAUACAAAAAUCCAUACCACAAUUUGGUCCAUGCAGCUGACGUUACUCAAACUGUGCAUUACAUAAUGAUUCACACUGGUAUCAUGCACUGGCUCACAGAACUGGAAAUUUUAGCAAUGAUCUUUGCAGCUGCCGUCCAUGAUUAUGAACAUACUGGGACCACAAACAAUUUUCAUAUUCAGACAAGGUCAGAUGUUGCUAUAUUGUACAAUGAUCGUUCUGUUCUUGAAAAUCAUCAUGUAAGUGCUGCUUAUAGACUCAUGCAAGAAGAAGAGAUGAACAUCCUGGGUAAUUUAAACAAAGAUGACUGGAGGGAGUUGCGUAGCUUGGUCAUUGAGAUGGUCUUGUCUACAGAUAUGUCAGGUCACUUUCAACAAAUUAAAACGAUGCGACACACUCUACAGCAGACACAGGGGGUAGACAAAGCCAAAGCCAUGUCUUUGAUUCUACAUGCAGCAGACAUAAGCCAUCCAGCAAAAUCCUGGGAACUGCACUACCGGUGGACCAUGGCCCUGAUGGAAGAAUUUUUUCGACAGGGAGACAAGGAAGCUGCUUUAGGUCUUCAGUUUUCCCCACUCUGUGACCGCAAGUCCACUUUGGUCGCUCAGUCCCAAAUAGGUUUCAUUGAUUUCAUUGUAGAACCAACAUUUUCUCUUCUUACGGACUCAAUGGAGAAAAUUGUUAUGCCUCUUAUAGAGGAAGCAUCAAAAUCUGAAAGUCCUGCAUUUGGGACCCCCAGUCAAAAUAGUUUGGGAGUAGUAAGCAAUGCUGAAGCACAAAGACGACCUGGUUUUAAAAGCACAGGUGAUGGAGGGACUCACGCAGAAAAUUCUCUAGCAACUGUAGACCUAAGGAGCUUUAAGGACAACUUGAUGAAGAUCAUUCAAGCAAACAAAGAAAGAUGGAAAGAAUUAGCAGCAGAAGAAGAACUUGUGAAAAAUGUUGAUGAACAGGAAAAAGACCAAAGCAGAAAUUCCACAGAUGCACAGUUACAGGAAGAGACAACAAGGAUACAAAAUGAGAGUAGUCAGGGAAGUGAUGGUACAACCUGUCCUCCCCGAUCCAUCGUCCUACAAGUAGUCUCUUUCGACACUUCUCUGAGUGAUGAAUCCAACUCAGAAAAAUGCACUAACUCUGAUCCGAACCAGAAAGAUCUCACCGAUGCCCAGCAAGAAACACAGAAUACAGACCCACUGAAUGGUGAGCCUAAACACUGUAAGAAGCCAGAAGACAUGGUAAAAGCCACGGAGCAGAAAGAAGCACUGAUACAAAACUAGAUUUUCUAUUUCUUAAAAGCUUCUGACAUUUCAGGCAGGACAGGAGAAAAGAAGCACUCUAGCUGUUCCUACCUCGUGCUCUCAGAGGCCAUUAUCUGUCAACUUGUUCUUGGAUCAUCCUGUUUCUGUGGAAAGUGAACGGACAAAAUGUUCAAAAGUGUAAAAUGUAAAACUGAACUGGUAAAUCAAGGCACUUAACAACUUGCAAGAUUUCGGUUGUAUUUGUUGUUGCUAUUUCCUCUUCUAUUCUGCUUUCUUAAAUUAGCCAAAAUAAUUUUUUCAGCCAAAGUUGGACCUUGCUUUGUUGCAUCACUGGCAUCAAACAUUUCCAGUUAACCAUGAGAUAUGUGAAAACACGACAUUUAUCAUCUGCCUGGGAUUGCUGUUACAUGUCACUGCUGCUGGCAUCCAGUGAAAAUGGAAAGUCAAAAUGAAAUGUGUUUCUAAAUACUUGUUCAUGCAAUCAUACUGCAUGCAACAUAAAAGUCUUACUUGUUAGUUUCCUUAAAAUAUCUGGAAAUAAAUGUAUGUAGACUGUACAGAGAAGUUGCAGAGUUACACUGACCAGCCUGCAUAGAUGAUGAUUUUUCUCCACUGUGGUGGCUGCCAUAUGGACAGAACUGGCGUUGAACUGAGAAGUAUUUGAAAUAUCUGAGUAUUUUGGAAGACAUCAGCAAUGUUGUCAGCCCUACCAUGAAGCUGGUGCUUAUUGUUUUAUAGGGUAGAAGAGACAGCAACAGGAAUACAUGAAAAUUACUUCACUUCAGCAAAAUAAUGUGUUGCCUCUCAGACAGAAUUGGAAGGUGACACUGAAGCCUUAUAUUAUGAUUUAUCUCACAUGCAAAGUCAACAACAUGCAUCCUGCAAAAUCUUUGCCAGUGUUUGUUUCUUUCUGAGGGGUGGCAAAAACAGAGCACAUGGGCAGUCACCUUUGCAAGAAGCCUCAGAAGGAGCCCAGAAAGAAACUCCAUUUUCAUCUCCACUUCCCUCAAGCUGCACAUGACUCCUCCAGACUUGUCUGGGUGUCCUGUGUAGCUGCAGCCAACCUCAUUUCCCUCUGCUGGAACCUGCCAGGAAACUUCCAGGCUCCCCUUCAAGUUGUAGGCUCUUGGGUGGCUCAGGUUGCUGCUCUCCCAGCUCUCAUUUUUGGACCCUGUGGUUAUUAUCUCACUGACCAAAAAGUCUUUAUAAUCAGCCAUGGUCUGCUCUGAAGAGGACUCAUGGGGCAGUGGCACUCCUCUCUGUGCAGAGGGUGAUUGAGAUCUACGUGUCAUUCAUCUGCUGUUUCAGGGGUCUGAGUAGAGCUCAACAGGCAUCAGGCUCAACUUCAAAAAGGGCAUGCUUUGUCCCAAUUGAAGAAGGAGUUGUAAAACAAUCACCCUGGACUGAGGGACCCUUACAUGUUCAUACCUGUUGACUGUCUCUUUUCUGACAGCGGAGCAAUCAAAACUGAGCUGGGAACAGUGUAAACUCUGAGCCGUGGGAUAAGAGCAUGCCAAAAGCAAGUUUUUACCUGGCCAUGACCCAAAGCUUGGUGUGUUGUUUGGAUGAGGAGAAAUUUUCUUUGGUGGAGAAGGCUGAUACAGCUAACAUGUGUUACUUAAGGUUUUGACAUGGGGUAAAAUUUGUGUUUGGAUGGCAGAAAGGUUUCUUGAGAGAGCCUCUCCCUGAGCGGUAGUUUAUCUCUGAAACCUGUAAGGCUGCUUUACCAAAACACUGCAUGGGGCCAUAAGAAAUGGUGUUUGUUUAUGCGUCUCUCCCACAGCAUUAUGGGCAUGUACCCUGCAUUGAGCACACUGAGGAGCUGUAGCUAUAGAUGAGUCCUCAAGAGUUUCAUUUUGCAUUUUUAUCUUGAGAUAUCUGAGAGAUAUAUUAUGUAAUAUUGUUAUAGGUUAUGAUCUAGUCAGUAUUUUUUUAAUUUAAUUUUCAACACGGCAAUCUACAACUGUGUGUUUUAUUCUGCUAUAUAUGUCCAUAUUUCCUAUGAUGAUCUUCCCAAAUAAAUUUGAUUUGAGGGCAAGGAUUGUGAAGCUCCUGAGUGUUAGUUACAAAUCUGCUUUCCUGAAGCAUGUUUGCUCAUUUGUGUAAGAUUGUCUUUGAGGAGUGACAGAGCACAUAUGGUUGUUUCCAACCCUUUCACCCACUCGGGACUCCACACUUUUUCUGUAACUGUAUCAGUUUGCCAUACAAAAUCACUUACAUCCUCAUAGCACACUUGAAAACAGUACCUUUAAGCAAGUCUUGAAUUCUUAUCCCUUAUGGCUAAAACAGCCCUCACAUGAAGAAAAACAACCAAUAGUACAUUUUUUUACACAAAAAAAAAUCUUACUGUGGGUUGAAAUUGAAGGAACCACUGAGACUGUUCUUGUUAGCAACAGGUCGUCUGGAAGAGUACAACUUUCAGUGGCACCUCCAUGACCUGGUGUAAAUUUUAUAAUCCAAGUUCAGUGUUGUGAGUAUAAAAUGCCCUUUUUUUUCUGGAAGAUUUUGUUACUAGGAGAUAGAGUUUUUGCUUAGGAAGGCUUUCUACCUGAAAGGCAGCUCUCUCUCAAAGGCAGUUUCAAUGCCUUCUCCCCACCCUUCAUACCAAGAGAAGUUCUCAGCCUCUCUCUCUGAUAUGUGAGAGGAGAGAGAUAACAUUUACAGAAAUGCUACAGGGCUGCUGUGGCCAGGGGAGAGUCGGGGGGGCCAACAAUGAUAAAGCCUGUGAGCGAAUGGGAGGUUUGCCUUUUCCUCUGAGGCCUGGUGCUGUCUUGCAGUGCCAAGAAGUUUGUAAGUUUUAAUGUCUUUGCCUCCGAAAUAAACCCUUUGAAUCCCUUCCACUGCUUUGGCAUUUCUGGGGAAGAUACCUGCAUAUAUUUUACCUUACAAGUGUAACUGGGAUUAAACAGGGUCCCUUCCUACUCUGACUGGAAAUAAAUGGAAAGAAUCCCAUCGAUUCAAACAUGUAUCAAAUCCUGACUAGGUACAUGAUGGGAAUAAAUCAAGACAACUACUUUAUACCUCGUUCUUUGCAGUUCCUUUUUUCC